CCAACAGGGAUUGCCUCAGUAACGGCGAGUGAAGCGGCAACAGCUCAAAUUUGAAAUCUGGCCUAGCCCGAGUUGUAAUUUGCAGAGGAUGCUUCUGGUGCGGCGCUGUCCAAGUCCCCUGGAACGGGGCGCCACAGAGGGUGAGAGCCCCGUCUGGUCAGCCGCCAAGCCUGUGUGAAGCUCCUUCGACGAGUCGAGUAGUUUGGGAAUGCUGCUCUAAACGGGAGGUAGACCCCUUCUAAAGCUAAAUAUUGGCCAGAGACCGAUAGCGCACAAGUAGAGUGAUCGAAAGAUGAAAAGCACUUUGAAAAGAGGGUUAAACAGUACGUGAAAUUGUUAAAAGGGAAGCGCUUGUGACCAGACGUGCGCCGGGCGUUCAGCGGGCGUUCUCGCCCGUGCACUCGCCCCGGCGCAGGCCAGCGUCGGUUCGGACGGGGGGACAAAGGCGUCGGGAACGUGGCUCCCCCGGGAGUGUUAUAGCCCGACGUGCCAUGCCCCCGACCGGACCGAGGUUCGCGCUCUGCAAGGACGCUGGCAUAAUGGUCCCCAGCGGCCCGUCUUGAAACACGGACCAAGGAGUCGAGGUUUUGUGCGAGUGUUUGGGUGUCAAACCCGCACGCGUAAUGAAAGUGAACGUAGGUGGGAGCUUCGGCGCACCACCGACCGAUCCUGAUGUUCUCGGAUGGAUUUGAGUAGGAGCACAGGGCCUCGGACCCGAAAGAUGGUGAACUAUACUUGGAUAGGGUGAAGCCAGAGGAAACUCUGGUGGAGGCUCGCAGCGGUUCUGACGUGCAAAUCGAUCGUCAAAUCUGAGUAUGGGGGCGAAAGACUAAUCGAACCAU
rnacentral:rRNA from 1 species